rnacentral:rRNA from 1 species
AAUUAUAUGUUUAUUUUAUUUAAUUUGGUUUAUUUUAUUUAAAAUAAUUUUGUAAUUAGUAUAUUUUAUAGAAAUUUAAUAUUUUAAUUAUAGUUGAUUGUACUGUGAAGGAUUAUUUUUAAUUAUUUGGAAGUAUAAUUUAUAUUUAUUACCUUUUGUAUCAGGGUUUAUUAAUUAAUUAAUAGUUAUUUAUUUUUCCCGAAAAUAAAAGAGUUAAUUAUUAAUGAUUAUUUAUGUUUCAUAAUAAUUGUUAAUUAAUAAUUAGAGGUUAUAUGCUAUUCAAUUUUAUAUAUCUGGUUUUUUGAUAAAUGAAUUUAAUUCAGGAUUAUUAAAGUUAUUUUAUAAUUUUAUUUUAAAUUGUUUAAUAAUCUAAUGUUAUAAGGGAUAAGCUUUAUAAUAUUUAUAUAAAUGUAAAAUUUUAUAUUUUAAGUAGGCUUGAUAACAGCCAUCUAUUAAUUUCGUUAUAGUUUAUUUUAUAAAAUUGUUUAUUUAAUUUGUUUUAUUUUGAUAUCAAAAUUAUUAAUUUAAUAGAAAAAUUAAUUUAAUAAUGAUAAAAUUAGUAGUAAUGUAAUAUUAAAUAUAGUAAUUCGGCAAAUUUUAUUUUCGCCUGUUUAACAAAAACAUGUCCUAUAGAUUUAAUUUUAGGUCUAAUCUGCUCAGUGAUUAAUUUUAAAUAGCUGCAGUAUUUUGACUGUACAAAGGUAGCAUAAUCAUUUGUCUUUUAAUUGGAGGCUUGUAUGAAUGAUUGGACGAGAAAUAAGCUUUCUUUAUUUAAUAAUUUUGAAUUUAAUUUUUUAGUUAAAAAGCUAAAAUUUAUUUGUAAGACGAGAAGACCCUAUAGAAUUUUAUUUUAUUUAUUUUAUUUAUUUUAUUUUUAAAUGUUUUUAAUUUAAUUAAAAUUUGGUUGGGGUGACUGUGAAAAUUAUUUAACUUUCAUUUUUUUUGUUCAUAAAUUAAUGUAUAUAUGAUCCUGUUUUAUAGAUUAAAAGAUUAAAUUACCUUAGGGAUAACAGCGUAAUUUUUUUGGAGAGUUCUUAUCGAUAAAGGAGUUUGCGACCUCGAUGUUGGAUUAAAGUAAGAUUUUGGUGCAAGUGCUAAAAUUCUAGGUCUGUUCGACCUUUAAAUCUUUACAUGAUCUGAGUUCAGACCGGCGUGAGCCAGGUUGGUUUCUAUCUACAAUUAAUUUUUAUAUUUUAGUACGAAAGGACCAAGUAUAAGUAAUAUUUAUUAUAAUUAUUGAUUAAUAUU